rnacentral:rRNA from 1 species
UGGGGAAUAUUGGACAAUGGGCGAAAGCCUGAUCCAGCCAUGCCGCGUGUGUGAAGAAGGUCUUCGGAUUGUAAAGCACUUUAAGUUGGGAGGAAGGGCAGUAAGCGAAUACCUUGCUGUUUUGACGUUACCGACAGAAUAAGCACCGGCUAACUCUGUGCCAGCAGCCGCGGUAAUACAGAGGGUGCAAGCGUUAAUCGGAAUUACUGGGCGUAAAGCGCGCGUAGGUGGUUCGUUAAGUUGAAUGUGAAAGCCCCGGGCUCAACCUGGGAACUGCUUCCAAAACUGGCGAGCUAGAGUAGGGCAGAGGGUGGUGGAAUUUCCUGUGUAGCGGUGAAAUGCGUAGAUAUAGGAAGGAACACCAGUGGCGAAGGCGACCACCUGGACUCAUACUGACACUGAGGUGCGAAAGCGUGGGGAGCAAACAGG